GGGUAGAGGCGCAGCCGACAGGAGUAUCCCGGGGAGCCCCCGCAGGGGCGGAGAACCGGCGAGAAAGGGGAGGUUGCCGAAGCGCAAAGGCCGCUGCGGGGCCUGGGCGCUGGGCGACGGGAAAAUAUCCCGCCGACUGUCACAGGGUAUCUGUGGAGUGCUAUCA
rnacentral:ncRNA from 1 species